rnacentral:rRNA from 1 species
UACGAAGGUCCCAAGCGUUAUCCGGAUUUAUUGGGUUUAAAGGGUGCGUAGGCGGGUUGUUAAGUCAGUGGUGAAAGCUCCAUGCCUAACAUGGAAAUUGCCAUUGAUACUGACGAUCUUGAGUACAUUUGAAGUGGGCGGAAUGUGUCAUGUAGCGGUGAAAUGCUUAGAUAUGACACAGAACACCGAUUGCGUAGGCAGCUCACUAAACUGUAACUGACGCUGAGGCAGAAAGCGUGGGGAGCAAACAGG